rnacentral:rRNA from 1 species
CCCCCUGUGAGAAUGCCCUAACAGUUCCCUGCCCGGGAACAAGGAGCUGGUAUCAGGCACAUCCUAUUAAGCCCAUGACACCUUGCUAAGCCACACCCUCAAGGGAACUCAGCAGUGAUAGACAUUAAGCCAUAAGUGAAAACUUGACUUAGUUAAAGCUAGUAGGGCCGGUAAAACUCGUGCCAGCCACCGCGGUUAUACGAGAGGCCCAAGUUGACAAACAACGGCGUAAAGCGUGGUUAAAGAACAACCGUCACUAAAGCCGAACACCCUCAAGGCAGUUAUACGCAUCCGAAGGUUAGAAGCCCAACUACGAAAGUGGCUUUAUUCCCCUUGAACCCACGAGAGCUAAGGCACAAACUGGGAUUAGAUACCCCACUAUGCCUAGCCCCAAACAUUGACAGCACCAUACACCCGCUGUCCGCCCGGGAACUACGAGCAUUAGCUUAAAACCCAAAGGACUUGGCGGUGCUUUAGAUCCACCUAGAGGAGCCUGUCCUAGAACCGAUAACCCCCGUUCAACCUCACCUUUUCUUGUUUCCCC